GUGCUCGUUUAGACAGCACAUAUACUAAACUUGGGAGAUACAGCAAAGAUAAGCAGGGCCCCUGCUGCAAGGAUGACACGCAAAUUCAGGACAUGUUCCUUUUUUUA